rnacentral:rRNA from 1 species
UGGGGAAUUUUGCGCAAUGGGGGAAACCCUGACGCAGCAACGCCGCGUGGAGGAUGAAGUCCCUUGGGACGUAAACUCCUUUCGAUCGGGACGAGCCACCCGGGUUAAUAGCCCAGAGGGUGACGGUACCUCCAGAAGAAGCCCCGGCUAACUAC